rnacentral:rRNA from 1 species
CACACGACUCUCGGCAACGGAUAUCUCGGCUCUCGCAUCGAUGAAGAACGUAGCGAAAUGCGAUACCUGGUGUGAAUUGCAGAAUCCCGCGAACCAUCGAGUCUUUGAACGCAAGUUGCGCCCGAGGCCUUUUGGCCGAGGGCACGCCUGCCUGGGCGUCACGC